GACGAACGCUGGCGGCGUGCUUAACACAUGCAAGUCGAACGAGUUGCGAACGGGUGAGUAAUACGUGGGUAACCUGCCCCUUUUUUGGGAUAAGCCUUGGAAACGGGGUCUAAUACCGCAUAAUGGGCUUGCGGCCUAUGGGCUUGUUGGUGGGGUGAUGGCCGACCACGGAGGUGACGGGUAGUCGGCCUGGGGGGGGGACCGGCAACAUGGGAACGGACAGACGGCCCAGAGGCCUACGGGAGGGAGCAGUGGGGGAUAUGGCACAAGGGGCGAAAGGCUGAUGCGGCGAAGCGGCGUGGGGGAUGAGGGCUUUCGGGUUGUAAACCUCUGUAGCUAGCGAACGGGUAGGUGGAGAAGAAGCGCCGGCUAACUACGUGCCAGCAGCCGCGGUAAUUC
rnacentral:rRNA from 1 species